GGAGAGGUGCCAGAGCGGUUUAAUGGGGCGGUCUCGAAAACCGUUGUUCCGGUAACCCCGGAACCCAGGGUUCGAAUCCCUGCCUCUCCGCCA
rnacentral:tRNA from 1 species